UACGUAGGGGGCAAGCGUUAUCCGGAUUUACUGGGUGUAAAGGGAGCGUAGACGGCAGCGCAAGUCUGGAGUGAAAUCCCAUGGCUUAACCAUGGAACUGCUUUGGAAACUGUGCAGCUGGAGUGCAGGAGAGGUAAGCGGAAUUCCUAGUGUAGCGGUGAAAUGCGUAGAUAUUAGGAGGAACACCAGUGGCGAAGGCGGCUUACUGGACUGUAACUGACGUUGAGGCUCGAAAGUGUGGGGAGCAAACAGG
rnacentral:rRNA from 1 species